rnacentral:rRNA from 1 species
UACGUAGGGGGCAAGCGUUGUCCGGAUUUAUUGGGCGUAAAGAGCGUGUAGGCGGCUUUACAGGUCCGUUGUGAAAACUCGAGGCUCAACCUGUGAAUGCCGCUGGAAACUGUCUGGCUAGAGUCCGGAAGGGGCGAGUGGAAUUCCUGGUGUAGCGGUGAAAUGCGCAGAUAUCAGGAGGAACACCAAUGGCGAAGGCGGCCUGCUGGGCAGUUACUGACACUGAUGCGCGACAGCGUGGGGAGCAAACAGG